rnacentral:ncRNA from 1 species
ACCAAGGAGUCUAACAUGUGCGCGAGCCGCGGGGCAGUACGAAACCCGUAAGGCGAAAUGAAGGUGAACGCCGGCGCGGUCCGGCGGAGGUUGGAUCCCGUCCCGUCGGGGCGGGCGCACUACCGGCCGAUCUUCUCCGCCCUGUCGGCGAGGUCGAGCGAGAGCGUGCAAGUCGGGACCCGAAAGAUGGUGAACUAUGCCUGAGGAGGUUGAAGCCAGAGGAAACUCUGGUGGAGGACCGUAGCGAUUCUGACGUGCAAAUCGAUCGUCAAAUUUGGGUAUAGGGGCGAAAGACUAAUCGAACCGUCUAGUAGCUGGUUCCCUUCGAAGUUUCCCUCAGAGAUAGCUGGCGCUCUGUCGCAGUUUUAUCUGGUAAAGCGAAUGAUU